rnacentral:misc_RNA from 1 species
AACUUUCAGCAAUGGAUCUCUUGGCUCUGGCAUCGAUGAAGAACGCAGCGAAAUGCGAUAAGUAAUGCGAAUUGCAGAAUUUCCGUGAGUCAUCGAAUCUUUGAACGCACAUUGCGCCCUCUGGUAUUCCGGUGGGCAUGCCUGUUCGAGCGUCAUUAUCCUCCCUCAACCCUCGGGUUUGGUGUUGGACCCAAGUUGUGUGAACAACUGGUCACAAAGACAAUGACGGCGUACGUGGGCCCCUGGGUGCAACGAGCUUUUUAACGAGCACGCGUCGAGGUUCAAUGCCCUCCCGGGCCGGUCUCCUUCUUUGAUUUACAAAGGUUGACCUCGGAUCAGGUAGGAAUACCCGCUGAACUUAAGCAUAUCAAUAAGCGGAGGCU